rnacentral:rRNA from 1 species
AUGAGAGCCUUGUUUUGGAAUGUGAGGGGUUUUGGCGCUCGGGGGCAUCGAGAUCAGCUUAAAGAUGUAGUGAGAGGAGACAAUAUUGAUUUAAUAGGCUUAGUUGAGACGUUCAAAAGUUCUUUCUCUCCCAAUGAACUCUCCGCAGUUGCGGGAGCUGGCAUGUUCGAUUGGAAUUUCCUUCCCUCCUCUGGUCAUUCUGGUGGUAUCCUCAUUGGCUCUAAACAAGAUGUUUUAGAUUUCGUGGCUUUUCACCAUGGUAUAUUCUGGGCUAGCAUUGUUGUGCAUAGUCGCCAUUUGAAUGUCCUUUGGGAGGCCAUGGUUGUUUAUGGUCUGGCUAACCACUCCCUCUCUCCUCUCUUCCUUGACGAGUUCACUUCUAAAAUUGAGUCGUGCACCAUUCCCCUCCUUGCCGGAGGGGAUUUCAACUUGCUUCGCUCCUCGGCACAUAAGAAUACCCCCAACUGUUGGGGAACGUAG